CGCGGCAAGACGGAAAGACCCCGUGAACCUUUACUAUAGCUUGACACUGAACAUUGAGCCUUGAUGUGUAGGAUAGGUGGGAGGCUUUGAAGUGUGGACGCCAGUCUGCAUGGAGCCGACCUUGAAAUACCACCCUUUAAUGUUUGAUGUUCUAACGUUGACCCGUGAUCCGGGUUGCGGACAGUGUCUGGUGGGUAGUUUGACUGGGGCGGUCUCCUCCUAAAGAGUAACGGAGGAGCACGAAGGUUGGCUAA
rnacentral:rRNA from 1 species